GACGAACGCUGGCGGCGUGCUUAACACAUGCAAGUCGAACGGAAAGGCUCCAGCUUGCUGGAGUACUCGAGUGGCGAACGGGUGAGUAACACGUGGGUAAUCUGCCCUGCACUCUGGGAUAAGCCUGGGAAACUGGGUCUAAUACUGGAUAUGACCUUUCUCCUUAUGGGGUUGGGUGGAAAGUUUUUCGGUGUAGGAUGAGCCCGCGGCCUAUCAGCUUGUUGGUGGGGUGAUGGCCUACCAAGGCGACGACGGGUAGCCGGCCUGAGAGGGUGAUCGGCCACAUUGGGACUGAGAUACGGCCCAGACUCCUACGGGAGGCAGCAGUGGGGAAUAUUGCACAAUGGGCGGAAGCCUGAUGCAGCGACGCCGCGUGAGGGAUGACGGCCUUCGGGUUGUAAACCUCUUUCAGCAGGGACGAAGCGUAAGUGACGGUACCUGCAGAAGAAGCACCGGCUAACUAUGUG
rnacentral:rRNA from 1 species